GGGCUCACACAAGCGGUGGAGGAUGUGGCUUAAUUCGAGGCUACGCGAAGAACCUUAUCCUAGUCUUGACAUGCUUUGGAACCCUCCUGAAAGGGAGGGGUGCUCGCAAGAGAACCUUAGCACAGGUGCUGCAUGGCUGUCGUCAGCUCGUGUCGUGAGAUGUCGGGUUAAGUCCCUUAACGAGCGAAACCCUUGUCCUUAGUUACCAGCGGGUCAUGCCGGGGACUCUAAGGAGACUGCCGGUGUUAAACCGGAGGAAGGUGGGGAUGACGUCAAGUCCUCAUGGCCUUUAUGACUAGGGCUGCACACGUCCUACAAUGGCGCGCACAAAGCGACGCAAACUCGCAAGAGCCAGCAAAUCGCAAAAAUCGCGCCCCAGUUCGGAUUGCAGGCUGCAACCCGCCUGCAUGAAGCCGGAAUCGCUAGUAAUCGCGGGUCAGCAUACCGCGGUGAAUGUGUUCCUGAGCCUU
rnacentral:rRNA from 1 species